rnacentral:rRNA from 1 species
GACGAACGCUGGCGGCGUGCUUAACACAUGCAAGUCGAACGGAAAGGCCUGCUUUCCCUUGUGGAUUGCGGGUACUCGAGUGGCGAACGGGUGAGUAACACGUGAGUGAUCUGCCCCCAACUUGGGUAUAAGCCUGGGAAACUGGGUCUAAUUCCCGAUAGGACUGCAGGGUGGUGCCUGUGGUGGAAAACGAUUUUCUAGUGGUUGGGGAUGAGCUCGCGGCCUAUCAGCUUGUUGGUGGGGUAAUGGCCUACCAAGGCGGCGACGGGUAGCCGGCCUGGGAGGGUGGACGGCCACAUUGGGACUGAGAUACGGCCCAGACUCCUACGGGAGGCAGCAGUGGGGAAUAUUGCACAAUGGGCGGAAGCCUGAUGCAGCGACGCCGCGUGGGGGAUGACGGCCUUCGGGUUGUAAACUCCUUUCGACCGCGAGGAAGCCACCUGGCUGGAAGGGUGGUGACGGUAGUGGUAGAAGAAGCACCGGCUAACUACGUG